AAACUCAAAGGAAUGGACGGGGGCCCGCACAAGCGGUGGAGCAUGUGGUAAAAUUCGACGCAACGCGAAGAACCUUACCAUCCCUUGACAUCCUGCGAACAUUCUAGAGAUAGAUUGGUGCCUUCGGGAACGCAGUGACAGGUGCUGCAUGGCUGUCGUCAGCUCGUGUCGUGAGAUGUUGGGUUAAGUCCCGCAACGAGCGCAACCCUUAUCAUUAGUUGCUAACAUUUAGUUGAGAACUCUAAUGAGACUGCCGGUGAUAAACCGGAGGAAGGCGGGGACGACGUCAAGUCAUCAUGGCCCUUAUGGGAUGGGCUACACACGUGCUACAAUGGGGGGUACAAAGAGCAGCCAACUGGCGACAGUGCGCGAAUCUCAUAAAACCUCUCGUAGUCCGGAUCGGAGUCUGCAACUCGACUCCGUGAAGUCGGAAUCGCUAGUAAUCGUGAAUACAGAAUGUCACGGUGAAUACGU
rnacentral:rRNA from 1 species